UUCCCUUCUUGGCCUUGUGGCUAAGAUCAAGUGUAGUAUCUGUUCUUAUCAGUUUAAUCAAUUUCUGUAAGCCAAGCAUUAUAGAAGAUUCUAGUUCAGUGGGAUAGUGGGGACAAUAAGAUGAGCUAUUGUCUUACACAGAUAGCAAAACUGCAACAACAAACCAAUUUUUUUCAAGGUCACAAGUAGUUUAU
ensembl:snRNA U2 U2 spliceosomal RNA